CAGUAGCCACGGGAAUACGUAGGGUGCAAGCGUUAAUCGGAAUUACUGGGCGUAAAGCGUGCGCAGGCGGUUUGUUAAGACUGAUGUGAAAUCCCCGGGCUCAACCUGGGAACUGCAUUUGUGACUGGCAAGCUAGAGUGUGGCAGAGGGGGGUGGAAUUCCGCGUGUAGCAGUGAAAUGCGUAGAUAUGCGGAGGAACACCGAUGGCGAAGGCAGCCCCCUGGGCCAACACUGACGCUCAUGCACGAAAGCGUGGGGAGCAAACAGGAUUAGAUACCCCGGUAGUCCCUGUCUCUCAUAC
rnacentral:rRNA from 1 species